rnacentral:rRNA from 1 species
UACGAAGGGGGCGAGCGUUGUUCGGAUUUACUGGGCGUAAAGGGCGCGCAGGCGGUUUUGUUUGUCGAGUGUGAAAGCCCCCGGCUCAACUGGGGAGGGUCAUUCGAUACUGCUCGACUCGAAGGCAGGAGAGGGAAGUGGAAUUCCCGGUGUAGUGGUGAAAUGCGUAGAUAUCGGGAGGAACACCAGUGGCGAAGGCGGUUCUCUGGGCAUUACCUGACGCUGAGGAGCGAAAGUGUGGGGAGGCGAACAGG